rnacentral:tRNA from 1 species
CACAGUGUAGCUUACCCAAAGCAUCUGGCCUACACCCAGAAGAAUCCAUAGUACAUGGACACUUUGA